rnacentral:rRNA from 1 species
UACGGAGGGGGCAAGCGUUGUUCGGAAUUACUGGGCGUAAAGGGCGCGCAGGCGGCUGCUCAAGUCAGGCGUGAAAGGCCUGGGCUCAACCCGGGAAUUGCGCUUGAGACUGGGCUGGCUUGAGUGCGGGAGAGGAUGGUGGAAUUCCCAGUGUAGAGGUGAAAUUCGUAGAUAUUGGGAGGAACACCAGUGGCGAAGGCGGCGAUCUGGGUCGAUACUGACGCUGAGGUGCGAAAGCGUGGGGAGCAAACAGG